AAUUUUUUAUUUCAAAUCUGAAUCUGUGUCACUGUUAUGUCAGUUUAAUGCAGUAAAAUGUACAACAUUUGCCUCAGAAAUGUAAUGAAGAAGUUUAGACUAGCAGAAAAUUUUGAAACUAAAACACAAGUAAAUUGAAAUUGUCCUUAGAUACUUCACUUGUGUAAAUGUACUUAGUUACAUUCCAUCGCUGGAGACAGUAACUCAUCUUGCACGUAAUUUGAGUAACUUUUGUGUGUUUGUUUUGACACUAAAUGUUAUGACAGCCUUGUUCUUUGCACUCAGUGGAGAUGAGAAAAGACACAGUGACAGCAGCUAACAAACAGCUGCCAAAAACUCUUUAUUCAGUUACAACCAGAUGCCUCCAGAGUGUUCCAGUCGCACAGAUCACUCUGGAGGAGGUCUAAACUGUACACCGAGUCAAACAACAACAGCACCAGAACGCAAUUUGUCAGUAAACACCAUUUACAACAAGAACGAUGGCAGUUUCUACACACAGAGAUCGGACGUGAACCCCAAAACUGAGGAAACAGCGCAAGUCACCAGAAUAAAACCAUCACUGAUGAGGGAGCAGGAGAAGGAACCCCCUCACUAACUUGUGUCGGGACACUUGACUUGAGGCAGGGUGUUUUUAUUUUCAUGUUCUACAGCAUAACAUAGUGUACAAAAUGGAGUUAGUAUGAUCAGAGGACACAUGGGAGAAACAGCACUGCAUGGGAAUAUAGCACCUCCAUUUCUCCCCCUGCCGAGGCCACAGCACCAGUAUGUACAGUAUGCAAAGACAGGCCUGGGCUGAGUGUCUCUGAAAACACCUUCAUGCUAAGGCCGUCUUUGUGCCAUUGGAAGUGAUUGGGACCGAGAUGAUCUCAGUACAACGAUGCAGGCCAGGUCCCAGUCCAUGAACAAAUCCCAGAGUUCCUCACUGAUCUAUGAGAAGAUGGACGGGUUUGAGAAAAAUGGCAGCAAAUAUCCUUUUGAGGUAAUUUGGAUUAUCCCUUUUGGGGUGGGAGUUUAGCUUAUUUUGGCCAAAUCUUAUCAUUAGCCAUUUGAUCAAAACAGCAAUGACCUAGGAUGAGCAUCCGGAGAGAACUUCUUUUAAAAUGAGCUGCCUGGAGAUGCUGCCACUUAAACUAUCCAGUCUCUGAAUGACCCGAACUACCGUAGGGACUUGUUCCUGGACAGAACCCUGACAGGAUCUUAUUGGCUGCCAGAUUGCUCCACACACCAAUGGAGGAGACGGUCCGAACACAAACAUGAAGCACCACAAUGAUGGAGAAAGGGCAGUGGGAAGUGCAUGGAGUUACAAAAAGCAUCAGUCACAUGUGGCCACUGACGUCUGGGCCCACAAAAACAUCCUUGAACUCCUCUAAGUGUUGGUGUGUCAGGAGCCUCGCAGUGGCCUCGACCAACACACCCUGACAGGGAAUUGCCACAGGCCAUUUGACAAAGGUGUGUAACUCCUUGGGAUGAGCAGAGCACCGUGCUUCAGUGGCAGCCCGCAUACUUCGCCCGGGGCUCCUUUCACAUUCACACACAGAAAUGCGCGCAAGUGCACACAUGGCAAGAUGUCAAUCAAACUAAUUGCAAGUGGGCCGGCGUGAUGCUGGGAGAGGAGAAUUGGAAAUAAGAUAAAGGUUUUAAUCAACUGUUUUCGACCGCUAAGCAGCGCCAGCAGCGGGGGGAGUGUGACGUGAUGAAGCUCCAGGCGGGAGCGUGCAGGUCACACUCACUGAAAAGAGCAUAACAAGCCUGGCUUGCAUUGAAAACUAUGUCUGGGCUUCCUUUGAGCCACAAAAAUUUCCUUCGGCAGAACAUGAAAACAAAACUCAUAAACAGUAUAUAUAUAUACACAUAUACAUAUAUAUGUGUAUGUGUAUAUACAUAUAUAUAUACACAUAUAUAUGAAUAUAUAUACACACAUAUAUAUACAUAUAUAUAUGAAAAAAAUAAAACAGCCAAAUCAACAUCUUUUUUUUGCUUUGACUUUAAAUUCCAACAUUGUUCUUUACGUAUAUAUAGAUUUGUCUUUUCUUAAACAAUAAUACGUUCACAUAAUACAAUGGAAAACCAGUUUUGAGAUAAUCUAAAUAUUUCUUACUGCAACAUCAAUGUAAUGACAUAGAAGAAGCAUAAUUAUUUUUAAGAGUGACUUUAAGGCUAUCCCUAUAUUCAAAACAACAGAAGCCUGACAGGUUGAACAGCACAUUAUUUCCUCACGCAACAUCAUACUUGAACCUGUCUUGUUCGUAAGGUGGCAGAUGAAAUGACUAAGGUAAUUGGUCAUAAACAUGGAGCUUAGAGAAAAUACAAGAACUACAUAUAUACAUGAAGAGCCCUAAAAAAAAAAAAAGACAAAAUAGAAACAGCUGAGCAAACAUAACAGAGCUACGGUUUCCAGGUGCGGAAGUACUUAAUAUUACGAUGGACGAAUGUGUGAGUUUAUUAGCUGGUGUUGGUUUUUGAAGAAUUCUGGUGUAAAAUAAAGGACUGUGUGUAUGUGUGUGUGUGUGUGUGUGUGUGUGUGUGUGUGUGUGUGUGUGUGUGUGUGUGUGUGUGUG